GCCUGCCCACUGAAAGUUUUAAAGGGCCGCGGUAAUUUGACCGUGCGAAGGUAGCAUAAUCAAUAGUCUCUUAAUUGGAGGCUGGAAUGAAUGGUUGCACAAAAAAUAAUCUGUCUUAUCUGUAGGGGUAGAAUUUUACUUUUGAGUGAAAAGGCUCAAAUAUAUUAAGGGGACGAUAAGACCCUAUAAAACUUUAUAUAAUAAGGCUAAUUUUUGAAUUUUGGUAUUAAAGUGAAUUGGUCUUUAUUUAUUAUGUUGGGGCGACAAGAAUAUAAAUAAGUAACUGUUUGUAAAUUAAAAUAAAUAUGUUUAGAAGUGUGAUCCUUUUUUAGGGAUUAGAAGAAAAAGUUACUUUAGGGAUAACAGCGUAAUUUUUUCUGAGAGUUCUUAUCGACGAAAGUAGUUGCGACCUCGAUGUUGAAUUAAGAUUUCCCUGAGGUGUAGAAGUUUCAGUGGUGGGUCUGUUCGACCCUUAAAGUCUUA
rnacentral:rRNA from 1 species